rnacentral:rRNA from 1 species
AUUGAACGCUGGCGGCAGGCCUAACACAUGCAAGUCGAACGAGUGGCGGACGGGUGAGUAAUGUCUGGGAACCUGCCCGCUGGGGGGGGAUAACUACUGGCAACGGUAGAUAAUACCGCCUACCAUCGGAUGUGCCCAGAUGGGAUUAGCUAGUAGGGGGGGUAACGGCUCACCUAGGCGACGAUCCCUAGCUGGUCUGAGAGGAUGACAAGCCACACUGGAACUGAGACACGGUCCAGACUCCGACGGGAGGCAGCAGUGGGGAAUAUUGCACAAGGGGCGCAAGCCUGAUGCAGCCAUGCCGCGUGUAUGAAGAAGGCCUUCGGGUUGUAAAGGACUGUCAGCGAGGAGGCGUUACUCGCAGAAGAAGCACCGGCUAACUCCGUGCCAGCAGCCGCGGUAAUAC